GGAUCCAGACUUUGAUCCUGGCUCAGGAUGAACGCUAGCUACAGGCUUAACACAUGCAAGUCGAGGGGAAACGAUAGAGAAAGCUUGCUUUUUCUAGGCGUCGACCGGCGCACGGGUGAGUAACGCGUAUCCAACCUGCCCAUCACUUGGGGAUAACCUUGCGAAAGUAAGACUAAUACCCAAUGAUAUCUCUAGAAGACAUCUGAAGGAGAUUAAAGAUUUAUCGGUGAUGGAUGGGGAUGCGUCUGAUUAGCUUGUUGGCGGGGUAACGGCCCACCAAGGCGACGAUCAGUAGGGGUUCUGAGAGGAAGGUCCCCCACAUUGGAACUGAGACACGGUCCAAACUCCUACGGGAGGCAGCAGUGAGGAAUAUUGGUCAAUGGGCGAGAGCCUGAACCAGCCAAGUAGCGUGCAGGAUGACGGCCCUAUGGGUUGUAAACUGCUUUUAUA
rnacentral:rRNA from 1 species